UGUGCAGUGCUUGACAAGCAAGGUCCUCCAGAGUCAAGGCUGGCUGUUCCCAUCUCCAGGGUGCUCUAUUUUUCCGUCUGUGGGCGACCAAGAAAGGGAAUAUCUCCUGCACACCUGCCUUACUUCUGG